GGAUAGCUCAGAUGGUA
rnacentral:tRNA from 3 species